rnacentral:rRNA from 1 species
GAUCAAGCGACAAAGUGCAUGUGGUGGAUGCCUUGGCGAUUACAGGCGAAGAAGGACGUGGCAGCCUGCGAAAAGCUCCGGGGAGCUGGCAAAUAAGCAUUGAUCCGGAGAUGUCCGAAUGGGGAAACCCACCCGCAAGGGUAUCACCCUCUGAAUACAUAGGGGGGUAGAAGCUAACCUGCUGAACUGAAACAUCUAAGUAGGCAGAGGAACAGAAAUCAACCGAGAUUCCGAAAGUAGUGGCGAGCGAAACCGGACGAGCCUGCUGUCUUUAGCCAGUGUUUUAGCAGAACGGUCUGGAAAGGCCGGCCAUAGAGGGUGAUAGCCCCGUAUGCGAAAAGACGCUGGUGGAACUAGGGCAGCGAAAAGUAGGGCGGGACACGUGGAAUCCUGUCUGAAGAUGGGGGACCAUCCUCCAAGGCUAAAUACUCGUGAUCGACCGAUAGUGAACCAGUACCGUGAGGGAAAGGCGAAAAGAACCCCGGGAGGGGAGUGAAAUAGAUCCUGAAACCGCAUGCAUACAAACAGUCGGAGUCCUGAAAGGGAUGACGGCGUACCUUUUGUAUAAUGGGUCAGCGACUUACGUUCAGUGGCGAGCUUAACCGAAUAGGGUAGGCGAAGCGAAAGCGAGUCUGAAUAGGGCGACAUAGUCUCUGGGCGUAGACCCGAAACCGGAUGAUCUACCCAUGGCCAGGAUGAAGCGGGGGUAACACCUCGUGGAGGUCCGAACCCACUAGUGUUGAAAAACUAGGGGAUGAGCUGUGGGUAGGGGUGAAAGGCUAAACAAAUCCGGAAAUAGCUGGUUCUCUCCGAAAGCUAUUUAGGUAGCGCCUCGUGUAUCACUCCUGGGGGUAGAGCACUGUCAUGGCUAGGGGCCGUUCUAGGCUUACCAAACCAUGGCAAACUCCGAAUACCGGGAAGUGCAAGCACGGGAGACAGACAUCGGGUGCUAACGUCCGGUGUCAAGAGGGAAACAACCCAGACCGCCAGCUAAGGUCCCCAAUGACAAGCUAAGUGGAAAACGAGGUGGGAAGGCUUAGACAGCCAGGAGGUUGGCUUAGAAGCAGCCAUCCUUUAAAGAAAGCGUAAUAGCUCACUGGUCGAGUCGUCCUGCGCGGAAGAUGUAACGGGGCUCAAGCGUGUAACCGAAGCUGCGGGUGCACAGAAAUGUGCGCGGUAGGAGAGCGUUCCGUAGGCCUGUGAAGGUGUUCCGUGAGGGAUGCUGGAGGUAUCGGAAGUGAGAAUGCUGACACGAGUAGCGAUAAACAGCGUGAAAAGCGCCUGUCGCCGAAAGCCCAAGGUUUCCUGCGCAACGUUCAUCGGCGCAGGGUGAGUCGGCCCCUAAGGUGAGGGCGAAAGCCGUAGCUGAUGGGAAACAGGUCAAUAUUCCUGUACCAACGUGCAAUGCGAUGGGGGGACGAAGAAGGUUAGGUCAGCCGGGUGUUGGAUGUCCCGGUUUAAGCCUGUAGGCAUGCUGCGUAGGCAAAUCCGCGUGGCUAAGCCGAGAGGUGAUGACGAGGUCUCAUUGAGACUGAAGUGACUGAUACCCCGCUUCCAGGAAAAGCCUCUAAGCUUCAGUUGUACGUUGACCGUACCGCAAACCGACACAGGUGGGCAGGGUGAGAAUCCUAAGGCGCUUGAGAGAACUCGGGUGAAGGAACUCGGCAAAUUGGCACCGUAACUUCGGGAGAAGGUGCGCCCCGGUAGGUUGUAGUCCCUUGCGGACGAAGGCCGAUGGGGUUGCAGUGAACUGGUGGCUGCGACUGUUUAAUAAAAACACAGCACUCUGCAAAGAUGAUGAAUCGACGUAUAGGGUGUGACGCCUGCCCGGUGCCGGAAGGUUAAGUGAUGGGGUGCAAGCUCUUGAUCGAAGCCCCGGUAAACGGCGGCCGUAACUAUAACGGUCCUAAGGUAGCGAAAUUCCUUGUCGGGUAAGUUCCGACCUGCACGAAUGGCGUAACGAUGGCCACACUGUCUCCACCCGAGACUCAGCGAAGUUGAAAUGUUUGUGAUGAUGCAAUCUACCCGCGGCUAGACGGAAAGACCCCGUGCACCUUUACUGUAGCUUUGCAUUGGACUGUGAUGGGAUCUGUGUAGGAUAGGUGGGAGGCGUUGAAGGGCGGUUGCUAGAUCGCCUGGAGCCGACGUUGAAAUACCACCCUGAUGUCAUUGCGGUUCUAACCUUGGGCCCCUGAAUCGGGCUUGGGGACAGUGCAUGGUAGGCAGUUUGACUGGGGCGGUCUCCUCCCAAAGUGUAACGGAGGAGUGCGAAGGUACGCUUGGCGCGGUCGGACAUCGCGCUGAAAGUGCAAUGGCAAAAGCGUGCUUGACUGCGAGACUGACAAGUCGAGCAGCUACGAAAGUAGGUCAUAGUGAUCCGGUGGUUCUGAAUGGAAGGGCCAUCGCUCAACGGAUAAAAGGUACGCCGGGGAUAACAGGCUGAUUCCUCCCAAGAGUUCACAUCGACGGGGAGUUUGGCACCUCGAUGUCGGCUCAUCACAUCCUGGGGCUGUAGCCGGUCCCAAGGGUAUGGCUGUUCGCCAUUUAAAGUGGUACGUGAGCUGGGUUUAAAACGUCGUGAGACAGUUUGGUCCCUAUCUGCCGUGGGCGUUGGAAGUUUGAGGGGGGCUGCUCCUAGUACGAGAGGACCGGAGUGGACGAGCCUCUGGUGUACCGGUUAUGACGCCAGUCGUAUUGCCGGGUAGCUAAGCUCGGAAGAGAUAACCGCUGAAAGCAUCUAAGCGGAAACUUGCCUCAAGAUGAGACUUCCCGGAGCCUUGAGCUCCUUGAAGGGUCGUUGAAGACCACAACGUUGAUAGGCGCCGUGUGCAAGCGUGGUAACACGUUGAGCUAAGGCGUACUAAUUGCCCGUACGGCUUGAUCCU